GUGUGAGAGAGAGAGAGAGAGAGAGAGAGAGAGAGAGAUGCAUGGGGGUACACAUGCCAUUGCAUGCAUGUGGAUGUCAGGGGACAACUUUGUGGAGUCAGUUUUCUCCUUUUGCCUUUUUGUAGAUUCCAGGGAUUGAACUUAGGUCACCAGGCUUGCACGGCAAGCACCUCUACUUGCUAAGCCAUCUCGCUGGCCCCCUUGGCAGAGUAUCUUAUCUGGACCCACAAAAAAACAUUUUGAGGAAAGGGUAUUUACUUUAUAGCUGAAAAGCUGAGGUUCAGAGGUAUCAAGGUGGGAAAAGAAAUUAAAUUUUUUUUUGUUUAUUUUUUGAGAUAGGGACUCACUACAUAACCCUGGCUGUCCUGGUACUUUCUGGAUAGAUCAGGCUGUCCUCAAACCCACAGAGACCUGCCCACUUCCAUCUCCUACGUGCUGGCUGUAUGAGCCCUCUACCACUCAGUUACAUCUUGGCUCCUCGUAACCUUCCCCCGAGACCCUUUCCUCCCCAGAUUUUACAUGUGCAUUCCCUUCCGGUGCCCCUCACCUUUGCACCCAGUACCUUUUGCUUCUUUGAGGUUGUUUAGCCUGGAUGCCUCAGCACCCCACGUUAAUUUAUUCCCAGAUGCCCAGCUCCAGUGCGAUCUUGCAGAAUCUGCUCCCAGCUCAUCUCCAUCCAAACGUAGCCUCACUGGCUUCAGGUCCUGUGCUUGCACCACCGUCUCAGUAUUCGGUCCUGUGUGCUGCACAAGCUUUGCUUGUAGCUGGUAGAGCAAGCUCGCAGGAGUCAAGGGCUCAAACCCCAGGCCCUUCAUACCCCUCUGUGACCUUGCGUGUAUCAAUUCACCUGAAACGUCAUUUCCUUCAUUUCUAAGGGAGAGACGGUUGGGAAGGUCAAGAUGUCAUGAUGCUUCCGAAUCCAAUGGUGCCACUGUAGAGCCCUCGGCAGGGCGAAAGGGAGCCCCUGGCAGACUCUGAGGCCCUGCUAGUUGGAUUUCCUUCCCAGACCCCAUGUGCAACCUGACACAGAACAGCUGUGGAUGUCCUCAGGGUCAUUUCCCCCAAAUACCAAACGGGUCCCUGCAGAUGCCACAGACCUGGGGCUUGCCUGCGUUUUUUGGCAUUUCUUCAUCACCCCCUCGGUGUGGGGCAAGACUUGGCUGGGCCCACAGCCAGCAAUAAAGCGGAUGCUAAUCAUAUCAUUAUAUGCUGAAUAAUUAACUGUCAUUUAAAUAUUCAUAUGUUGUUGGGGGCAAGGCCUUUUAUCAGUAUCUGGGGACAUGUCAGCAGAGGAAAGAGAUGGAUGUCGCCAAGGCUGACUCCGCCUGUGAAGGGCGACCUGGGGUCCAGGGAGAGCCAUUGCAGUGGUCACCAGACAGUCAGCUAAUAUAUAACUGCAAUAUUCUCACGUGAUAAACGGCAACUUCAUAAACGCUUGAUGCAUAUGAGCAACCCUAAAACAAUAUUGGAAGCAUUAAUUUCAUUUGACUAAUGCUUAUCUAUAUUUUAUUCUGUUGCCAUCUCUAAAGAAGCCCCUCUUUCCUUCAGGGGAAGGGCGGUAGGGCUGGAGGGCCACUGAUGGACGACAGCAGCCAAGGGGGGCACUUUCCGUUAGCCCUGCCUUUAAGAUGACGAGAUUUGGGACUGGCUCUGAGCUUUGAAGACCUGUCUGAGAGUCUGUGUGAAAUCCUGCCUGAGUCCCUGUCGGGGAACUCAGCCUCUCUGGUGGCAUUACAGGAGAGUGGCAUGGGUAUCUCAGGCUUGGCCAGGUAAAGCAAAGUUGUAUAGGUGCCCUCUUGCUGUCAUGGAGGAAUCAAGAGGGGAGGCCUUGAAGACAGAAGUAUAGUCAGGUGGGGAGUAUUAUGAAGUGACUCUUCUAUAGUGGGGUGUGGGUGGUUGUGGUGGUUUGAAUAUGCUUGGCCCAGGGAAUGGGACUAUUAGGAGGUGUGACCUUGUUGGAGGAAGUCACUGUAGGAGUGGUCUUUUAGACCCUCCUUCCAACUAUGUGGGAGUCAGUCUUCUCUUGGUUGCCAUUGGAACAAGAGGUAGACCUCUCAGCAUCUCCAGCGCUAUGCCUGCCUGGAUGCUGCCAUGCUUCCUGCCAUGAUGAUAACGGAUUGAACCUCUGAACCUGUAAGCCAGCACCAAUUGAAUGUUGUCCUUGUAAGAGUUGCCUUAAUCAUGGUUUCUGUUCACAGCAGUAAAACCCUAACUAAGACAAAUAGGAAGGGACCCGGAGGAGAGAAAGGGAACAGAGGGAGGGUGUGAAGGAACACGAAAGCCAAGAGGGAGAGAACGGCACCUGGAGGUCUGGUGAUGGGUGAGCUGGCUGUUCUGGAGGAGCGAAGCAGCUUGGUGGGGGGGGGGGUUAGUAACAAUGGUUCUAGAAUUGGAUAGCCAUGGGCUGGGCUCUAGCUGUGCCAUUAACUAGCUGUAGGACUCCUGGAUCCUCUUUUUUUAACCCUCAGUUUCCACUUGUGUAAUAGGAGCCACUGUGCUUCAGGGGUGGGCUGAUGACUUAUCGGGUUGCUCUUCUGGGGUCUCACAGAGCUCCAUCAAAUGUCAUCGAUUGGGAGGCUCAAAUUGUGGGUGGUGGUAGAGGUGAUGUCGGUGGCAAUGUCAGUGGUGAUGGUGGUAAAGUUGGGAGGCGAUGGCAGUGGGAAUGGUAGUGGUGACAUUGUUGAUGGCAGUGGUGAUGGUUGUGGUGAUGUUGGAGGCGAUGGUGAUGGUGGUGGCGGUGGCGAUGGUGGUGGCCGUGGUGGUGGUGGUGGGUGUCUGCUUUCAAGAACUCUCUGCAGUUUGCUGACUUUUGUUUCCUUUCAGGAUCUGACGCUGGCUGGUUGUCUGCCAAGGAGACCCUCAAUUCUGAGUGGCCCAUGGUCACUGGCCCUGGGAAUUUCUUCAGCAUGGCUGCUGACUACAUCAAGCAAGAACCUGUUCCUAAGACAGAGCUUAUAUGAUACAUAGUGAUCAUGAAGUAUGGAGGGACACUGUCACCUUUCCAGGUUUACUAAUGAGUGACAGGUUCUGCUAACAUAUAUGGGAGGGGAUAGUACAGGGGUAUGAAUACCAGGGGCCUGGGUUGCUGAGUGACCCUCAAGCCUUUACAUCAUAUCUGACAAGGUUAGCAGUGAGUGCUCUCAGUACCAGGUACUCACGGUCCCUGCGUUUUGUGAACUUUCUCACCUGACCCACAGAAUAACCCAAGAAGAGCAGUAACUGCCCUCACUGUACCAAUGGAGGAAUGUGAGGUCAAGGAUCCUGGUAGGGGUUCAACAGGGGAAGGCAGGAGCACUGUGGAAUUGGUCAUAGACACCAUGUGAUCCAACACCCAGGGUUGCCAGUGAAGACAAACCUCAGAAGACUCUCAGGACAUGCCCUGGCCCUGUUCCACUUUGCCAGGACACGUGACAACACUGGGUCAUGCAGGUGACUCCAGGACAAGCUCUCUGUGGUAAAGCCAACAGCCGCCGAAGCAUCCCGGUUUGCAGAAGGGUGGUUCCUCCUGCCCUCUGACACUGGCAGGAGACUGCCCUACUCCCCAAACGACCCGACUCACCUUCCAGAAGUGUUCCUGGCUGAUCCAGUCUCACGCUGACUACUCCAUGCCUUCCGGUCACUGUCCAGCCCCUGUGAAACACCAGCAAGCACUCACGUGUGCAAAGCUUUUAAGUUUAUAGGCGGGUUUCGCAUGCCGUGUCUUAAUACUUGUCUCCCUGGAUUAAAUGAUUAAACAAGAUCAAACACUCGGGGCUCUAAACGCCUGGUGUUACCUCUUGAGCUGAUAAAUAGAAUUAGGGCUCCCAUUUAUUGACCACAUGUGAGAUGCCAGGCCUCUCUGCUCCACGCUCCUAGCACAUUAAUUCACAGAAUCUUGGCUGCCACUGUGGGAGAUAGCUGUCAGUUGUACCUGGGCUUUGGGAAGUGUGAAGAACUUAAGGCCAAGGUCAUGCAGUCAACACUCGUGCACAUUAGCUAACAGUUAGUAAUGUCAUUAGGGCAAGCGUCUCACUUGUCUGUCUGGAGGGCUGGCACAGAGCAGGCCAUGGAUGGAUCCUGUUGAGGAUGAGCCUGCAUGCCUGCAUGACCUGAGCUGUCCCAGUUGCUGUUUCUCAUCCCCGCCCUCUUCUCUUUCUCCUUACAGGCAUCAGACCCUGGAUCAUCCGAAGUCUAACUUAGCGCUCAGGCUGGUGUCUGACAUAUUCUUGAUUCACUGGAACGAGGACUGAAUACUGUCAGUCCCAGCAGUCCUCUGAGGAUGGUUUUAGGAACUCCAUCCUGCAGGAGGGAGGGGCCUGAGAGUGUGUGACACCUGCUCAAAUAACAGUGUCAGAGCCAGGAUUUUGGAUUCUGAGGCCCGAGUUUUUGUUUCGUUGUUUUGUUUUCUCACCAGCGGCCGCCCACCUAGCCACCUGGCAGGCAUUUGGGGGAGAUUCGGAAAUGUUUCCUCUUUGCUGCCAUCCUGUCUAGUAUCUGUGAAACACCCAUCACUCACCAGCUGCAGACAUUCUCCAGAAAGCUUCAGAACACCCUCGCAAAGGUGUCUGCUAUUGCCCCCAUUUUACAGAUGUGGAAGCAGGUUGAAGGAGGCUUCCUAGUAACUGACUGAGCUGCUUCCCGAGGUAAGGGUCAGAGUGACUGGGAUACAGGCUGGAGAGGGAUGACCUGCAAACCCAGCUUGGCAAGGGUUGGCAGGAGCAGAGGAGGGUCAGGAGAAGCUCCUAGAAGUCUCUUUCCCCUACUGGCCUUUGAGGGCAGAGGUGAGAUUUGGUAGACUCUUGAUAGGAAUUGUUCUGUGUGCAAGCAAGAACCGAGUUAGGUGGAGUGUAAGCAUUCUAGCCUGGCCUGGGUUGUCCCGAGUCCCUUCUGGUUUCAGUCUUGAACUUGUCCUUCCCUGCAAUGCAGAGAUGCGCAGGUGGGAGGGGAGGAUCUAUAGGCUGCUGUGUACAACUGGUCCUUAAGGUUUCUAUCAACCCCAUCCACAAUUUUUCCCACCAGCCUCCUGCCAGCACCAUGGAGUGAAGAGCAGUCUGGCCCAGGAUGCUGAGUUGGAUCCACUUAGACAUUCUCCAGCCCCCCCCCCCCCCAGUGCAUCCCUGUCCCUCCAUCCUUGCUGUACAGUGGUCUGCCUUCCUGCUCACAACCAGGCUCGGCAGGAAAAGCAGCCUACUCCUCCAGUUUCCCUGCUUCCUAAACAUUGCUGAUGCCCGAAGGCUGCUCUCAGCUCUUCUCCUGGGUGGGUGCAUUUAUUUAUUCCUCCUCUCAUUCAUUUGUUGAUUCAUUCAGCAAGUAGUUUCUGAGCUCUUAGGCUCUCCUAGGUUGGGAACACAGCAGUGACCCCAGCUGACCGGUCUGUCCUCUCUACAGAGGUUACCACACUGAAUGGAUAGACGUGCCGGCUUUUAGUGAGCAACACAGGCCUUGAUGCCAGUAAAACACGAGGCAUGAUGGAAAGGGACUGGCCAUUGCUUUGGUUUGCAGACAGAGAUCCCAUCAUCUGCAGGAGGAUUUGAGUGUGAUGAAGCCAUUCAUAGGAAGAUCUAGAUGAAGAACAUCCCAUGCUCAGUGAGCAGGAAGUACAAAGGCCCUGGGGUUAGAGAGAACUUUUCCGACUCCAGGAACCAGAGGAGGCUGGCCUUAGCGGUGACAACAGGCAGGAUCUUGGUGACACUUUCUAUUUCCCCGUAAGUACAAUAGCAGCUCUUGGGGGCUUGGGUCUAGGGAAAACUCUGACUUGAUUUAUAUGUCUCUCUCUGCCUUUUGUACUGAUAACAGAGAGACCAUUAAGAGCUCUGAGGUCAGAAGAUGGAGCAGUCAUUAUUUAAGUGCCUGCGUGUAAACAUGAAGAGCAGAGUUCAGUCAAACAAGCUGGGCAUGGUGCCAUGAGCUUGUAAUCCUUAGGUUGGAGAGAUGGAGACAAGAGACUUCUAGGGACGAGCUGGCUAGUCAGUCUAGGCAAAUAAGUGAACUUCAGGUUCAGGAGAGACUCCAUCUCAAAGGAGGCGGAUGCUGUUCUUGAUGACAUCACCGAAAGUUGUCUUUAGCUUUUCACACACUUUCCUGCAAGCAUGUACGCACACACACACACACACACACACAUACACAUGAAAAAAAUAAUUGUGCCAGUUACUAGUCCAACAUCACAGUCUUCUACAGAUACUCAGUAUCCCAUCCUAGCUCCUUUAGGUCUUACACCGACACAUCGCGUUCCAGGAAUAACUUUAUCCCUUACCUUUUCAAAGUUCCUGUUCAGUCCUCAGAACCCAGCUCCUGGGUAUCCUUCUGGGGAGCCCUUCUCCCUCACCCGUGGCAGGAUAAAUUCACACCCUCACUGCCAUUACCAGUUCUAACAACAGGCUCAUACAGUGUGUUUCUCGUCCCUCUUUCCACUAGGUCAGGAGUCCUUCCAACAUGAAGAUCUAACUCUGAUGGUCUUGGAGACCACAGACCUUCCCUAGCCUGGUCUGGGAGGGAUGCCUGGCAAAUGCUUUCUGGGCUAACGUGAGUUAUUUGAGCACUCGAGUCGCUAGCAGAAGCACUGCGUUAGCGAGUCCCCUUUGUUUGAACAAACAAGAUUAGAAGCAUUGCACUGUUUGUUCUUCCUGGUGAGGCUCUAGCAAAUCCACACUUUGUGGGACUUCUGGCCUCUGGAGGGCCCCUCAGUGUUUUCUAAAAGCAUAGCCCGUGAGAGUUAAAAUUUGAAUAGAUAUCUCUCAAGAGCUGGUCCUGUAUUCCUGUAUUACCUUGAGACAAAUGUUUGUUAAUAUAUAUAUAUAUAUAUAUAUGUAUUCUAGUUGCUAGAAUACAUGUUGUAAAUACUUGCGUUUGAAAAUGUACACUUCCGGGAUGCUUUGUGGGUUCCUGUGCAUGUUCACGUACGACUAGAAAUCUGUUUGUCACAGAUGCUUCCCAGGUCUGGUGGUUGUUUUCUCUAUCCUAAUUAAUCUAUUGAUGUAGAAUUAUGCAUCUUUCCCCAUAAGCCGGGAGUGUAUUUAAAAGCUCAUUUCCUUGCCUGAGAUACAUGCAAAUAAAAGUUAAAG
rnacentral:lncRNA from 1 species